GACGAACGCUGGCGGCGUGCUUAACACAUGCAAGUCGAGCGGUAAGGCCCUUUCGGGGGUACACGAGCGGCGAACGGGUGAGUAACACGUGGGUGACCUGCCCUCAGCUCUGGGAUAAGCCCGGGAAACUGGGUCUAAUACCGGAUAUGACUCCAUGACGCAUGUUGUGGGGUGGAAAGCCUUGUGCGGCUGAGGAUGGGCCCGCGGCCUAUCAGCUUGUUGGUGGGGUGAUGGCCACCAAGGCGACGACGGGUAGCCGGCCUGAGAGGGCGACCGGCCACACUGGGACUGAGACACGGCCCAGACUCCUACGGGAGGCAGCAGUGGGGAAUAUUGGACAAGUGGGGGCAACCCUGAUCCAGCAAUGCCGCGUGAGUGAUGAAGGCCUUAGGGUUGUAAAGCUCUUUCGCCCGCGACGAUGAUGACGGUAGCGGGAGAAG
rnacentral:rRNA from 1 species